CAUAUCUCUCUCUGCCUACAUACCUAUUCAUUAUGUAGCUGAUAGAUAGGAUAGGUCUUUCCUAUAGCAAAUGUAAUUCACCAAUAAAUCAAUUUGAUUUAGACUCUACAGUGAUCUCCAUGCAUGUGACUUAAAUAGCUACAAAAACUAAACUCUGCACUCUGCAACUGGAGUGGUAGCUUCCUUGGUGUUUUGCUAAAUAAUCACAAACCCCAACAAGAACUCACCAAGAGACACAGAGAAGGGGGAAAUCCAUGGGUAAAGAUGUGUGCAGGAGGUCUUGUCACUGCUUAACAAGCUACCAAACUAGUUCUCACUUGCAGCAGCUUGUUCUGCAGUCACUCAGUGCUUCAUCAUGGCCAGAGUCUAGAUGCAGGUGAGAUGACUAAACAAAUCAGCAGUAAUUAUGAUAGAGGGGGGAGAAUAUCUAUAGCUCCAGGAUUUAGUGCAAAGGGAAUUCUAUGACAGGUAUUCCAUCCAACAGAGGGCCUCACCUGCAGGUCCACAGAUGGGCCUGGGUUCCUCAGAGAUUUUCCAGCUCCCAGAAUGCUGAGCUUUCUUUUAAAAAGCCCUUUUAAAAGAUGAGGCACCAUUGAAAAAUUUCUCGCAAAGCUUCAAAAUGUCAUACAUAUAUGGAGGAUAUCCUUUCAAAAUAUCCAUAGCAGAGCUCUGCAAUGUUGACAUAACACUAAAAUUGUUUGUGCCACAUUGCUGAGGCCUUUCUACUAAAUCUGUAAAGAAUCAAACAGUGGGCAUCUUUAGAUUGUAUUUCAGAUUGGCAACCUGUAUUGCCCCACAAUACCACUUAACCUGCAGAUUCUCGGUGUUGGAUAUCUCUGCUCAAUAUGCAUGCUUUUCUGUGCUCAGACCUAAACAAACACAAUUAAAAUUAGCUAUUAACUUAAUUAAAAAGCAAAAUGAUUAUAUUUACCCCCAAAAAGAAGCUUCCACCAUGUUAAAGUCACAGCAAGACUAAAAGUAAACAGAAGACAUUUCUGAAUGCACAAAUACAUGCAUAAUUAUAUGCAAAAAGUUGUUAUCACAGCUACCCAGUGGCUAGCAGGAUCAAGCUUCAAAUCUCAAAAUAUAGCUGUAGGAGAAAGGCAGAUUUUGACCAUACAAACCAUAUUCAAUUAUCAUGUCUAUGCUGUUUCUCUCUUUCGGCAGUUUAAAAGCUAUUAUUAGACUCCUUUGCCUUUUCUGAAGCAUUUUCUUAAAAAAAAAACACACACUCAAAGUGAUACUUCUAUAUCACAUUCCAAAAUAUAAACAUUAGCUGCAGACCGUUUGAUUAUUAGUUUCUCAGAACAUUCUGUUCUGCCCUGCUUUGCUCCCUUUAAUAUAAAGCACAGAAGAUGGCUAAGAUGGGCCUCAAAAAGCCCUGCUCUAGCUUUUUUCUUAAUUCCACUGAUAAUCGUCACUAGGGACGUGCAUGGAAACAGGCAGGGGUGGCUCAAUGGCGGGGUCUCAGGUGGUGCGCGUGCGCCCACUAGGCACAAGCAUGCACACUUUGCGCUCGUGCUCACACACACUGGGCGCACACCAUCUUGCAACAGGUGUGCUCACUACAGGCACAUGCACGUCAGCUACUUCUGGCCACUUCUGGCCGAAGAGCAAAGGGGGCAGCAGGGAAAUACACUGCCACCCCAUAGGGCAUUUAAAAUACCGGGAGCCGGCAGGGGGGAAGCAGAGGGGAGCAUACUGCACUCUCCCCCACCCUUAAAGUUAGAUCCCCCACCGCCUUCGAACUUCAACACCCCCCAGUGUUCAAACCUGUUCGGAGGCCCGUAAAAAGGCCUCCAAACAGGUCUGUGCACAUCCCUAAUCGCCACACUCAUUCAAGCCUACACUGAGAAAUGCAGAACAAUAGUAUUUUUUACUCAGAUUGAAUGGAUGGACAAAAAUGCCCCCAAAACAUAUUCACUUCUGAUAGUUUAAAAAAUGUUUAGUAAGUUUCCCUUUUGCAGCCACGUUCACAAUCAUUUUCGCUGAAAUGGGAGGAGAGCUGGCAACAAACGUGUCUUUAAACAGGUGCAGUAAACACUAGUGCAGAAUAAGAAAGCAAGCACAAUACAGAGUAAACAGAAGACAUCACCCAGGAAGUUUCUUGUGUCUCUGUUCUUAUUUUGAUACAGCUGGUUUACUUCAGGGUGUGCUUUGCAUUCUCUAGGACAGGAGUUCCUAAUCUUGCCUCCCUGGCAGUGGUGGCUGGUCAGGAAACUCCCUCCUCAAUAAACAAACCAGCAAACAAGCUAGUAAAGGUUCAAACUUACAGGCAGCCAGGGAAACCUCCAGAGCACGAGUUUUCUGCAGCACCUCCUUCCCUGCCAGUAAUUUCUUCUUACUGGCUACAACAGCUGCUACUCAAGUUGCUCCAGCCAGUCUGAUUCCGAAGGGGAUCCUCCUUGCAGUGACUCCAGGAAGUGUUGGGAAUUCUCUCUGGUAAGAGAAACCCUUUUUCAUUAUAGCAGAGUACACAGAGGCACAACACAGCAGAAUUUAGUUGGGCAUGCGUAUAUGCUGAGAGUAAAGUAACUUGGAGCCAGUUCAUCGUUUCAAAUCAAUAUAAAUGGUAUUUAUUAGAGAAUUCCAUUCUAGACAGGAAAGUGAGGAGUUAGGAUCACCUAAUCUAGCUAGCUAGCUGGAUGCAGAUGGAUUCUGCAUCUCUGCACACAUGGUGCAGGGGAGAGGAGCUUGCAUGUUGCACGAUAGAAGGAACAGGAAGAGAAAAAGGAAGAGAGGAAGGAAGUGGCUGGAAGGAAGGAAGUGUCCCUAAGAGUAGCAAUCUACAUUCCAAAGGGAUCAUGUCAGAGCAGUAGGGAAGGGAUUAUCAAUGUCUUGACCCUCUAGCCCUCUGACUCACUAGUCUGUCCUCCAGUGUCAUUGAGACAAGAGACAGCGCAAAGUCCUUCACUUCCAACAGGAUGAUGGGGGAAAUGUGUAAAAACGAUACUCUCUGAAGCAACAGGGAGUGUAUUUUUAACCCAUUAUUUUAGUUCAUUGUUUAGCAAUGCCAGGAGGAGCAAUUUGAGUAGCAGCUGUUGCAGCCAGUAAGAGCAAAUGAGGAAGUUACAAGCAAAGGAGGAGAGGAGGGGUGCAGAAAGCUCCCUGCUCUGAAGGAUUCCUGGCUGCAGGAAAAUGGGUAUCCCAGAACAUCUCAUUGUUCUCCUGAGAAACCUAUACACAGGACAGGAAGCCACAGUCCUGACGGAACAUGGUGAAACAGACUGGUUCCAGAUCGGCAAAGGAGUAAGACAAGGCUGUAUACUUUCUCCUCCUCUAUUCAAUGUAUAUGCUGAACAUAUACCAAGAGAAGCUGGAUUGGAAGAAGAUGAACGCGGUUUUAAAGUUGGAGGAAGAAGCAUCAAUAUCUUAUGCUACUCUGAUGACAUCACUCUGACUUAUAGCUGAGAAUGUGAAUGAUCUGCAAGCUCUAGUAGUGAAAGUCAAGGAGCACAGUGAAAAAAAUGGACUACUACUAAAUGUAAAGAAGACUAAACUAAUGACAAUGGGUACAGCAACCAGCCUCAGAAUUGAUAAUGAAGACACUGAAGUGGUGGAUAGAUUCUGCCUUUUAGGAUUGACCAUCAACAGUAAAGGAUCCAGCAGUCAACAAAUAUGCCGCAGGCUAGCACUUGGUAGGUUGCAAUGAAGGCCUUGGAAUGGAUAUUUAGAUGCUGUGACAUUUCUAUACCUACAAAGAUUAGAAUCGUUCGGACCACGGUUUUUCCCAUUACACCCUAUGGAUGCGAAAGCUGGACUUGGAAGAAGCAAGAUAGAAAAAGUAUUGACUCUUCUCAACUUUGUUGCUGAAGAAGACUUUUGAAGAUACCAUGGACAGCCAGGAAAACAAACAAAUGGAUCAUGAAACAGACCGAUCCAGAAUUUUCACUCGAGGCACAAAUCACCAGGCUCAGACUAGCAUACUUCAGACACAUUAUGCGAAAAACCAACUCCCUUAAUGCUGGGGAAAGUUGAAGGAAAGAGAAGAGGAUGACCAGCAGCAAGAUGGAUGAACUUGAUUAUGACAACAAUGAAUGUGCCACUGAGAGACCUUAAAGGUCAAGUUGAAGACAGAUCAUCCUGGAGAGAAUCUAUCUGUGUGGUCGCUAAGAGUCGACACCGACUUGAUGGCACUUAAUCAAUCAGUCCAUAUACAUAUAUACAUGCACUUCAGCACCAGAGAGGGAGACUGCUUUCAAAAAACUAAGUCAAAUAAAAUCAGAACAUUCACAAAAAAUCAGGGAAUUUCUGCAGGAAGAGGGACAGUCUUCUCACUUCAUUUUUACUCUUGUGUUUGUAUCUGUUGUUUUUAUUUCUGAGUUUCUAUAUUUUGAAUUUUUUCAUGCUGUGAAAGUAGUAAUAAAGCCAAUAAAUAAAUAUACU